rnacentral:rRNA from 1 species
UACGGAGGGGGCUAGCGUUGUUCGGAAUUACUGGGCGUAAAGCGCGCGUAGGCGGCUUUGUAAGUUAGAGGUGAAAGCCCGGAGCUCAACUCCGGAAUUGCCUUUAAGACUGCAUCGCUAGAAUCAUGGAGAGGUCAGUGGAAUUCCGAGUGUAGAGGUGAAAUUCGUAGAUAUUCGGAAGAACACCAGUGGCGAAGGCGACUCACUGGACAUGUAUUGACGCUGAGGUGCGAAAGCGUGGGGAGCAAACAGG